UGGGGAAUAUUGGACAAUGGGGGCAACCCUGAUCCAGCCAUGCCGCGUGAGUGAUGAAGGCCUUCGGGUUGUAAAGCUCUUUUGGCGGGGACGAUGAUGACGGUACCCGCAGAAUAAGCCCCGGCUAACUUCGUGCCAGCAGCCGCGGUAAGACGAAGGGGGCAAGCGUUGUUCGGAAUUACUGGGCGUAAAGCGAGUGUAGGUGGUUGUCAUAGUCAGGUGUGAAAGCCUUGAGCUCAACUCAAGAAAUGCACUUGAUACUGGGCGACUAGAGGACCGGAGAGGAUAGUGGAAUUCCCAGUGUAGUGGUGAAAUACGUAGAGAUUGGGAAGAACACCAGUGGCGAAGGCGGCUAUCUGGACGGUUUCUGACACUAAGACUCGAAAGCGUGGGGAGCAAAC
rnacentral:rRNA from 1 species